UACGGAGGGUGCAAGCGUUAAUCGGAAUUACUGGGCGUAAAGCGCACGCAGGUGGCUGAGUCAGUCGAUUGUGAAAGCCCUGGGCUUAACCUAGGAAUUGCAGUCGAUACUACUCGGCUAGAGUAUGGGAGAGGGCAGUGGAAUUCCCGGUGUAGCGGUGAAAUGCGUAGAUAUCGGGAGGAACAUCAGUGGCGAAGGCGACCGACUGGGCUACAUCUGACGCUGAGAUGCGAAAGUGUGGGGAGCAAACGGG
rnacentral:rRNA from 1 species